AAAAGCUACUAAGGGCGUACGGUGGAUGCCUAGGCACAUGGAGGCGAUGAAGGACGUGAUAAGCUGCGAUAAGCCUCGGGAAGGUGCAAACAACCUUAGAUCCGGGGAUUUCCGAAUGGGGUAACCCUUCUUGGGUAAUACCAAGAAACUCUCAAUUGAAUAUAUAGAUUGAGCAGAGUUAACGGAGUGAAUUGACACAUCUUAGUAACUCCAGGAAAAGAAAACAAUAGUGAUUUCCUAAGUAGCGGCGAGCGAAAAGGAAACAGCCUAAACUUUAAUCAUGUUAAAACCCGUAAGUGUUGUGGUUAAAGUGUUGCGAGACAUUUCUAGAAUUUGUUACGGAAAGUUCGGGGAGUCAAAAAACUUGAAAUUAGUUGAACGAUAUGGAAAGAUCGACCAUAGAAGGUGAUAGUCCUGUAAAUGAAAAUUGAUAGUCUCCCUUGGAUUUGUUCUCAAGUAGCACGGUACACGUGAAAUUCCGUGUGAAGCUGCCAAGACCAUUUGGCAAGGCUAAAUACUCCCAUGUGACCGAUAGUGAACUAGUACCGUGAGGGAAAGGUGAAAAGUACUCCGAGAGGAGAGUGAAAUAGAACCUGAAACCGUAUGCCUACAAGCGGUCGGAGUUCUGAUUUAUCAGAAUGACGGCGUGCCUUUUGCAUAAUGAGCCAGCGAGUUGCUCGUAUAUUGCAAGGUUAAUUCCCAUAAGGAAGGAGCCGCAGCGAAAGCGAGUCUUAAUAGGGCAAUUCAGUAAUAUACGGCAGACCCGAAGCCGAGUGAUCUAUCCAUGGUCAGGUUGAAGCGGCAGUAACAUGUCGUGGAGGACCGAACCCACUAGGGUUGAAAACCUAGGGGAUGAACUGUGGAUAGGGGUGAAAGGCCAAUCAAACUCGGCGAUAUCUGGUUCUCCCCGAAAUGCCUUUAGGGGCAGCGUCGUGGUAGUGCCUCGGGGGUAGAGCACUGGAUGGACUAGGGGCCCUACAAGGUUACCAAACCCAACCAAACUCCGAAUACCGAGGUUAUGAUCUACGGCAGUGAGGCCGCGGGGGAUAAGCUUCGUGGCCAAAAGGGAAACAACCCAGACCAACAGCUAAGGUCCCAAAAUCUUAGUUAAGUGAUAAAGGAUGUGAGAUUGCACAGACAGCUAGGAGGUUGGCUUAGAAGCAGCCAUCCUUUAAAGAAAGCGUAACAGCUCACUAGUUAAGGAAUCUUGCGCCGAUAAUUUCCGGGACUAAUAAACUAAGUACCGAAGCUAUGGCUUCUUGAUUUAUCAAGAGGGGUAGGGGAGCGUUCCAUUAACCUGUGAAGUCACAGAUGGGAGUCGUGAUGGAGGAGAUGGAAGUGAGAAUGCUGGCAUGAGUAGCGAUAAUCCCAGUGAAAUUCUGGGACACCGAAAGCCUAAGGUUUCCUGAGUAAAGUAACUCUGCUCAGGGUUAGUCGGUACCUAAGCCGAGGCCGAAAGGCGUAGGCGAUGGAGAACAGGUCAAUAUUCCUGUACCACCUUUUUAUUGUUUGAACGAUGGGGGGACGCAGAAGUGAAAGAUCAGCCCGGUUUUGAUUGUCCGGGUUUAAGUAAGUAGAAAGUUCUAGCAGGCAAAUCCACUAGAACAAUUUCGAGAUACGAAUAGGAGGGCCUAGCCCAUAAACUGAUCCUAAUCAUACUGCCUAGAAAAUCCUCUAAGUGAGAUAUUUAGGUGACCGUACCGUAAACGGACACACGUAGGCGAGAUGAGUAUUCUAAGGUGCUUGGAUUAAUUCUGGUAAAGGAACUCGGCAAAUUGGCCCCGUAACUUCGGGAGAAGGGGCGCCUUGAUUAGGUGAUGACUUUUCAGUUUCAGCCGAAAAAGGCCGCAGAAAAAUGAGUCGUCCGACUGUUUACCAAAAACACAGGUCUCUGCUAAGUCGUAAGACGAAAUAUAGGGACUGACACCUGCCCGGUGCCGGAAGGUUAAGUAGAGGUGUUAUUAUAGAUUUAUCUAUAUGAAGCUCUGAAAUGAAGCCCCGGUGAACGGCGGCCGUAACUAUAACGGUCCUAAGGUAGCGAAAUUCCUUGUCGGGUAAGUUCCGACCCGCACGAAUGGU
rnacentral:rRNA from 1 species